UACGGGAGGCAGCAGUGGGGAAUAUUGCACAAUGGGCGAAAGCCUGAUGCAGCUAUGCCGCGUGUAUGAAGAAGGCCUUAGGGUUGUAAAGUACUUUCAUCGGGGAGGAAAAAACAAAACUAAUAAUUUUAUUUCUUGACGUUACCCGAAAAAGAAGCACCGGCUAACUCCGUGCCAGCAGCCGCGGUAAUACGGAGGGUGCUAGCGUUAAUCAGAAUUACUGGGCGUAAAGAGCACGUAGGUGGUUUUUUUAAAGUCAGAUGUGAAUCCCUGGGCUUAACCUGGAACUGCAUUUUGAAACUGAAAUACUAGAGUAUCGUAGAGGGAGGUAGAAUUCUAGGUGUAGCGGUGAAAUGCGUAGAUAUCUGGAGGAAUACCUGUGGCGAAAGCGGCCUCCUAAACGAAUACUGACACUGAGGUGCGAAAGCGUGGGGAGCGAAACAGGGAUUAGAU
rnacentral:rRNA from 1 species